GUGAUCACUUCACAAUAUAUACACUCAAAUUGGAAGGACAGGGAGAAGAUUGGAAUAAGACCCUGCACAAGGAUUACACAAAAAUCUGUGAAGCCUUUCAUAUUUUU
ensembl:snRNA U6 U6 spliceosomal RNA